rnacentral:pre_miRNA from 1 species
UGUGCAUCAGUGGGGUCCCUCAGCCUGGCCUGCACCCUCUUGCAAUCCAGGACCCCUUGAGGGAUGUCGGAGAGCCAGUUUCAACCUGAUCCUGCAGGCCAGGCCGAGGGACCCCACUGGUGCAUG